UACGUAGGGUGCGAGCGUUAAUCGGAAUUACUGGGCGUAAAGCGUGCGCAGGUGGUGCGUGAAGUCCGCUGUGAAAGCCCCGGGCUCAACCUGGGAAUGGCGGUGGAAACUGGCGUGCUGGAGUCGGGCAGAGGGGGGUGGAAUUCCGCGUGUAGCAGUGAAAUGCGUAGAGAUGCGGAGGAACACCGAUGGCGAAGGCAGCCCCCUGGGCCACGACUGACGCUCAAGCACGAAAGCGUGGGGAGCAAACAGG
rnacentral:rRNA from 1 species